rnacentral:lncRNA from 10 species
GAGCGAACGAGGGCGUGUCACAACUCAUUCGGUCCCGCUGCCUAGAUGGGCGAGCCAACCAGAAGCGUGCUGCUGCCCUUUUCACUGCCACUAUGCGGCAGGUUCCAGGUUCUUGUUCUGUGACCAGAAGAAUGAGGUACGUGGACACCGAGACAAGUUGCAAUGUUCCCCAAGCUGAUCUCAAAUACCUGGCCUCAAGUUAUCCCCCCACCUCAGCCUCCCAGGUUGGGAUUGCAGGUACACACCAGCACGUCUGUCUUUGUGAACCUAUUGGAAGAAUCAUAUGGUAUUUAUCUUUCAUUCUGUUAAUAUUGUUUGUCACAUUUAUUGAUUUGCAUUUGUUGAACCAUUCUAG